CUCACACUGGCCGCUCGUCUUUACAGCCUUACACAUGCAAGUCGAACGGCAGCGCGGGAGCAAUCCUGGCGGCGAGUGGCGAACGGGUGAGUAAUACAUCGGAACGUGCCCAAUCGUGGGGGAUAACGCAGCGAAAGCUGUGCUAACUACCGCAUACGAUACUACGGAUGAAAGCAGGGGAUCGCAAGACCUUGCGCGAAUGGAUGCGGCCGAUGGCAGAUUAGGUAAGUUAGGUGAGGUAAAGGCUCACCAAGCCUUCGAUCUGUAAGCUGGUCUGAGAGGACGACCAGCCACACUGGGACUAGAGACACUGGCCCAGACUCCUACGGGAGGCAGCAGUGGGGAAUUUUGGACAAUGGGCGAAAGCCUGAUCCAGCCAUGCCGCGUGCAGGAUGAAGGCCUUCGGGUUAGUAAACUGCUUUUGUACGGAACGAAACGGCUUCUUAUAAAGGGUU
rnacentral:rRNA from 1 species